GACGAACGCUGGCGGCGUGCCUAAUACAUGCAAGUAGAACGCUGAAGAGAGGAGCUUGCUCUUCUUGGAUGAGUUGCGAACGGGUGAGUAACGCGUAGGUAACCUGCCUUGUAGCGGGGGAUAACUAUUGGAAACGAUAGCUAAUACCGCAUAACAAUGGAUGACACAUGUCAUUUAUUUGAAAGGGGCAAUUGCUCCACUACAAGAUGGACCUGCGUUGUAUUAGCUAGUAGGUGAGGUAACGGCUCACCUAGGCGACGAUACAUAGCCGACCUGAGAGGGUGAUCGGCCACACUGGGACUGAGACACGGCCCAGACUCCUACGGGAGGCAGCAGUAGGGAAUCUUCGGCAAUGGGGGCAACCCUGACCGAGCAACGCCGCGUGAGUGAAGAAGGUUUUCGGACCGUAAAGCUCUGUUGUAAGUCAAGAACGAGUGUGAGAGUGGAAAGUUCACACUGUGACGGUAGCUUACCAGAAAGAGACGGCUAACUACGUG
rnacentral:rRNA from 1 species